UAGUUGGUGGGGUAAAGGCCUACCAAGGCGACGAUCAGUAGCGGGUCUGAGAGGAUGAUCCGCCACACUGGAACUGAGACACGGUCCAGACUCCUACGGGAGGCAGCAGUGGGGAAUUUUGGACAAUGGGGGCAACCCUGAUCCAGCCAUUCCGCGUGAGUGAAGAAGGCCUUCGGGUUGUAAAGCUCUUUCAGCUGGAACGAAACGGUACAUCCUAAUACGGUGUGCUAAUGACGGUACCAGCAGAAGAAGCACCGGCUAACUACGUGCCAGCAGCCGCGGUAAUACGUAGGGUGCGAGCGUUAAUCGGAAUUACUGGGCGUAAAGCGUGCGCAGGCGGAUUGUUAAGCAAGAUGUGAAAUCCCCGGGCUUAACCUGGGAAUGGCAUUUUGAACUGGCAGUCUAGAGUGUGUCAGAGGGGGGUGGAAUUCCACGUGUAGCAGUGAAAUGCGUAGAGAUGUGGAGGAACACCAAUGGCGAAGGCAGCCCCCUGGGAUAACACUGACGCUCAUGUACGAAAGCGUGGGUAGCAAACAGGAUUAGAUACCCUGGUAGUCCACGCCCUAAACGAUGUCAACUGGUUGUUGGGGGAGUGAAAUCCCUUAGUAACGAAGCUAACGCGUGAAGUUGACCGCCUGGGGAGUACGGUCGCAAGAUUAAAACUCAAAGGAAUUGACGGGGACCCGCACAAGCGGUGGAUGAUGUGGAUUAAUUCGAUGCAACGCGAAAAACCUUACCUACCCUUGACAUGUCCAGAAUCCUGCAGAGAUGCGGGAGUGCCCGAAAGGGAAUUGGAACACAGGUGCUGCAUGGCUGUCGUCAGCUCGUGUCGUGAGAUGUUGGGUUAAGUCCCGCAACGAGCGCAACCCUUAUCAUUAGUUGCUACGCAAGGGCACUCUAAUGAGACUGCCGG
rnacentral:rRNA from 1 species